GUACCAGUCACUUUGGCAAAUCCGGGUGGCAAUGGGAAGCCGUGAUGCGGAGCGAAAUAAAGUAGCGAAGUCCGUGAGCCAUGCGUCAAGAAAAGCCGCUAUCGUUUAUACCGUACCCGUACCGUAAACCGACACAGGUGGAUGAGGAGAGAAUCCUAAGGCCGGCGGAAGAAGCAUUGUCAAGGAACUCGGCAAAAUGGCCCCGUAACUUAGGGAUAAGGGGUGCCUGGGAAACCAGGCCGCAGAGAAUAGGCUCAAGCAACUGUUUAGCAAAAACACAGGUCUAUGCGAAACCGAAAGGUGAGGUAUAUGGGCGGACGCCUGCCCGGUGCUGGAAGGUUAAGAGGAGAGGUUAGCGGUAACGCGAAGCUUUGAAUUUAAGCCCCAGUAAACGGCGGCCGUAACUAUAACGGUCCUAAGGUAGCGAAAUUCCUUGUCGGGUAAGUUCCGACCCGCACGAAAGGCGUAAUGAUUUGAGCGCUGUCUCGACAAUGCAUCCGGUGAAAUUGAAGUACCAGUGAAGAUGCUGGUUACCUGCGCCAGGACGGAAAGACCCCCUGGAGCUUUACUCCAGUCUGGUACUGGGACUCGGUAUUGCAUGUACAGGAUAGGUGGGAGGCUAGGAGAUGGUAACGCCAGUUGCCAUGGAGCCGCUGUUGGGAUACCACCCUUGCAGUAUUGGGUUUCUAACCAGCCGCCGUGACCCGGCGGUGGGACAAUGCCAGACGGGGAGUUUGACUGGGGCGGUCGCCUCCGAAAGGGUAUCGGAGGCGCCCAAAGGUUCCCUCAGAAUGGACGGAAACCAUUCGAAGAGUGCAAAGGCAGAAGGGAGCUUGACUGCGACACCGACGGGUGGAGCAGGUACGAAAGUAGGGCUUAGUGAUCCGGUGGUAUUAAGUGGGAAUGCCAUCGCUCAACGGAUAAAAGCUACCCUGGGAUAACAGGCUUAUCACUCCCAAGAGUUCACAUCGACGGAGUGGUUUGGCAUCUCGAUGUCGGCUCAUCGCAUCCUGGGGCUGUAGUAGGUCCCAAGGGUUGGGCUGUUCGCCCAUUAAAGCGGUACGCGAGCUGGGUUCAGAACGUCGUGAGACAGUUCGGUCCCUAUCCGGCGUGGGCGUAGGAUAUCUGAGAGGAGCUGUCCUUAGUACGAGAGACCGGGAUGGACGGGCCGCUGGUGCAUCGGUUAGACUGCCAAGUCUACGGCCGAGUAGCCAAGCCCGGAAGGGAUAAACGCUGAAGGCAUCUAAGCGUGAAGCCCCCCUUAAGAUGAGAUAUCCCAUUCGUUAAGAAGUAAACCCCCUUGAAGACGACGAGGUAGAUAGGGCAGAGGUGGAAGUGCAGUAAUGCAUGGAGCUGACUGUUACUAAUCGGGUGAGGGCUUGAUC
rnacentral:rRNA from 1 species